rnacentral:rRNA from 1 species
CCUACGGGUGGCAGCAGUGAGGAAUAUUGGUCAAUGGACGAGAGCCUGAACCAGCCAAGUCGCGUGAAGGAUGACUGCUCUAUGGGUUGUAAACUUCUUUUAUAUGGGAAUAAAAUGCGCCACGUGUCGGGUUUUGUAUGUACCAUAUGAAUAAGGAUCGGCUAACUCCGUGCCAGCAGCCGCGGUAAUACGGAGGAUCCGAGCGUUAUCCGGAUUUAUUGGGUUUAAAGGGAGCGUAGGUGGAUUUUUAAGUCAGUGGUGAAAGUUUGCGGCUCAACCGUAGAAUUGCCGUUGAAACUGGCAGUCUUGAGUACAGUAGAGGUAGGCGGAAUGCGUGGUGUAGCGGUGAAAUGCUUAGAUAUCACGAAGAACUCCGAUUGCGAAGGCAGUUCACUAGGCCACAACUGACGCUGAGGCACGAAAGUGUGGGGAUCAAACAGGAUUAGAUACCCCAGUAGUC